rnacentral:rRNA from 1 species
AGUGAACGCUGGCGGCAGGCCUAACACAUGCAAGUCGAACGGCAGCACAGGAGAGCUUGCUCUCUGGGUGGCGAGUGGCGGACGGGUGAGGAAUACAUCGGAAUCUGCCCUGUCGUGGGGGAUAACGUAGGGAAACUUACGCUAAUACCGCAUACGACCUUCGGGUGAAAGAGGGGGAUCGCAAGACCUCUCGCGAUUGGAUGAGCCGAUGUCGGAUUAGCUAGUUGGCGGGGUAAAGGCCACCAAGGCGACGAUCCGUAGCUGGUCUGAGAGGAUGAUCAGCCACACUGGAACUGAGACACGGUCCAGACUCCUACGGGAGGCAGCAGUGGGGAAUAUUGGACAAUGGGCGCAAGCCUGAUCCAGCCAUGCCGCGUGAGUGAAGAAGGCCUUCGGGUUGUAAGCCUGUCGAGCGGGAGAAAUGCAUGCUGGCUAAUAUCCAUCAUGCUUGACGGUACCGCUAGAGG